rnacentral:rRNA from 1 species
UCGAGAAUCUUCCGCAAUGGGCGAAAGCCUGACGGAGCGACGCCGCGUGGUGGAUGAAGCCCUUUGGGGCGUAAACACCUUUUAUGAGGGAGGAAGUUUAUUGACGUUACCUCAUGAAUAAGGGGCUCCCAACUCUGUGCCAGCAGGAGCGGUAAUACAGAGGCCCCAAGCAUUAUCCGGAUUCACUGGGCGUAAAGGGUGCGUAGGCGGUGUGAUUAGUCAGGUGUUAAAUCCUGGGGCUUAACCUCAGAAUCGCAUUUGAAACGGUCAUACUAGAAGAAGUCAGAGGUAAACAGAACUCUCGGUGUAGGGGUGAAAUCCGUUGAUAUCGAGGGGAAUACCAAAUGCGAAGGCAGUUUACUGGGACUUUCUUGACGCUGAGGCACGAAAGCGUGGGUAGCGAAUC